AGAAGAAGAAGAAGAAGAAGAAGAAGAAGAAGCUAAGCUAAACCGCUAGCUGCUAAGCUAACGGGCUGCCUCCCUGCAAUCUGUGGGUAAAACGACACCUUUCAUUGCGGAUUAAUGAGCAGGUGACACCGCUACGAUGCCGUGGAGGUGCUGCGUCCCCGGAUGUAAAGGCUACGACGAGGCCAAGUCCAUGGGAGUCGUUUUUCACGGUCUACCGACCAGAGACCCGCAGCGCUGCCGGACAUGGCUGAAGGCGAUCCAGAACCCGCGGUUCGACGAGAACACCCCGGUGUCCAGGUACAGCGGAGUCCGAGUGUGCAGCCUGCACUUCACCGCCGAGGACUACGAGGAGGACUUUCGGGCUAAAAUACUCAACAUUGCGCCCAAACCGAUGCUGAAGGGGGGCGCGGUGCCGUCGGUGUUCCCCGGGAGACAGAGCGGUGAGCCCCGCCGCGCCGACACAUCAGCUCCGGCCCCGAAGAGACAGAGAGCUCCGGCGAGCAUUUCGGCUGCAGGCAGCUCCACACAGCCGCCUCCGGCAGCCGGCUCCGAGGAGAGCUUCUGCAUCGUGGUGUCGGUCGACCCUCAGGACGACAGCUUCCACUCAGAACCGGAGUUCAGCUCACUGAUGGCGCCUGACGAGUCGGACGAAGACGCCGACAGAGACUGCACAGUCGUUGACAGCCGUAGCCUGAUGGAGCUGUUCAGGAGGUGUCAGACGUGCGGGCAGCCCAUCGCCGGAAAAGAGGUUUUCCACUCUGGAGUUCAGAUGAGGGUGAAGUGGAGCUGCCACAGUGGGCACGCUGGUACCUGGAAGUCCUCACCUCGCCUGAGAGACACGCCUCCAUGAAGUCAGCCUGCUGCUCCUGUUUACGCUGGAUGAACACUUUCGCACUUCAAGGAGUAAGAAUCCAAGAAAAUCAUGAAGUCCUAUCAGCAGACGCAGGCUGACUGAUGAGCCGACGGCUGGAGGACACGUUGAAGAGCAUCUCGGCCGAUGGACACAGCUGGAGGGUGCAGGUGACCGAGGACUGUGUGAGCUGCUGGACUGAAUUAUGAAGACGGAUGUCCAGAACGCAGCAGAGGUCAGCGCGAGAGUUUCCCACUGAAGCAGCGCCGCACAGUCAGAAUACAUCUGUACACUGGAGGACUUUCAGCUUCCUCACAUCAAAGCUGAGAGUCAAGAGAGGAGGAAUGCUUGGCUGUCAAUCGAAUGCAGGGCUUACAACCAGGUGAUUUGAAGCUCUGACGUAAAGAUGGCCUACAAGCAGUGGUGGAUGACGUGUAAAAUCUUUGUCUUCUCAGUUCAGUGCAGAAAAAAAAUAUCCAACAAGUUGGUGAAGUUCAGACAAGAUUGAGACAAAAUUCAAAGAGCCAGCAGCCCUCCUCCGGCUCUGCACUGCGACUCUGAUCCCCGCUGAAGUUUGAAAA